UUGAACGCUGGCGGCAGGCCUAACACAUGCAAGUCGAGCGGAUGAAGGGAGCUUGCUCCUGGAUUCAGCGGCGGACGGGUGAGUAAUGCCUAGGAAUCUGCCUGGUAGUGGGGGAUAACGUCCGGAAACGGGCGCUAAUACCGCAUACGUCCUGAGGGAGAAAGUGGGGGAUUUUCGGACCUCACGCUAUCAGAUGAGCCUAGGUCGGAUUAGCUAGUUGGUGGGGUAAAGGCCUACCAAGGCGACGAUCCGUAACUGGGCUGAGAGGAUGAUCAGUCACACUGGAACUGAGACACGGUCCAGACUCCUACGGGAGGCAGCAGUGGGGAAUAUUGGACAAUGGGCGAAAGCCUGAUCCAGCCAUGCCGCGUGUGUGAAGAAGGUCUUCGGAUUGUAAAGCACUUUAAGUUGGGAGGAAGGGCAGUAAGUUAAUACCUUGCUGUUUUGACGUUACCAACAGAAUAAGCACCGGCUAACUUCGUG
rnacentral:rRNA from 1 species